UACGUAGGUGGCAAGCGUUGUCCGGGUUUACUGGGCGUAAAGAGCGCGCAGGCGGUCGUUCAAGUCGCGUGUGAAAGCCCCCGGCUCAACUGGGGAGGGUCACGCGAUACUGAUCGACUCGAAGGCAGGAGAGGGUAGUGGAAUUCCCGGUGUAGUGGUGAAAUGCGUAGAGAUGCGGAGGAACACCGAUGGCGAAGGCAGCCCCCUGGGCCAACACUGACGCUCAGGCACGAAAGCGUGGGGAGCAAACAGG
rnacentral:rRNA from 1 species